rnacentral:lncRNA from 1 species
UUGUUCCAAAAUGCUCUCAUUAUGCACCUUAAAUGACAGCUCGUCAUAGAGCAUCUUAAAUCUUAAUUUCAGUUUUGAAUAAUUCAUACUUACUCUUUGAUGCAAUCAUCCAGUAAGCUGGAAUAUGGGUCCGAUAUGUCUAUCCUUGAACGUCUUGAGCUCAUCCUGUAUAACCAUUCCUUCCAGCUUAUAUACUCCAGUUUGUUGAAACAGUUAAGGAAUUUCGUUGUUUCACUUCUUCCUUCAACCAUUUCUAGUUAGUUUUAGCUCCAUCUUAGAUGCCCUUUUAUCUUUUGCAGAGGUAUAUCAUUUUCUGUUCCUGUAUAUUAACAUUGUCGAAUAAACUAUAUUUGUUAUUUUCCAACUAAUUAAAGAUGUGGAAUCCUUUCUUUUCCUUUGUCCUUUUUCAAACUUGGUAGGUUGUUUAUAUUUGAUGAACUAGUAAUAUGGUAAAUGUGUACAAGUAAGGUUAUAAAAGUUCCUAGAAUACUUGUGCUAGGAAACAUAACUAUUUAAUUUUUGCUCAACUUGGGUCUUAGCUUUUAUAAAGAGGUUGAGGUUUAGCAUUGACUCACUAUCAUUAUCAUCCUAUCCUAUCCACAAGAGUACACAUAAUUUCUUUGUGGGAAAAGAAGUCUUGCUUAUAUUUCUCUCUCUGGCGUGGUCCCAAUCCCCCAAAGAUAUACGCACAACAUAAGGUACUAAAGAUUAAAGUCUUACAGCAGAACAA